rnacentral:rRNA from 1 species
GCGGAGGAAAAGAAACCAACAGGGAUUGCCUUAGUAACGGCGAGUGAAGCGGCAACAGCUCAAAUUUGAAAUCUGGUCCCCUUUGGGGGCCCGAGUUGUAAUUUGAAGAGGAUGCUUUUGGCGAGGCGCCGUCCGAGUUCCCUGGAACGGGACGCCGCAGAGGGUGAGAGCCCCGUACGGUCGGACGCCGAGCCUCUGUAAAGCUCCUUCGACGAGUCGAGUAGUUUGGGAAUGCUGCUCAAAAUGGGAGGUAAACCCCUUCUAAAGCUAAAUACUGGCCAGAGACCGAUAGCGCACAAGUAGAGUGAUCGAAAGAUGAAAAGCACUUUGAAAAGAGAGUUAAAAAGCACGUGAAAUUGUUAAAAGGGAAGCGCUUGCGACCAGACUUGCGCCCGUCGGAUCAACCGUCGCUUGCGGCGGCGCACUCCGGCGGGCUCAGGCCAGCAUCAGUUCGUCCGGGGGGAGAAAGGCGGCGGGAAUGUGGC